GUGAUAUAAACCGGACGGCAUUGAGUUUUAAACUGCUUGCAAUCGCUUAGAAAAUCAACUCUUUCGAAGCCUUCAACACCUCAUAAAACAUGUCAGGAUUAGUCAAAACAAAAAAAUACGACUGGACAGACUCAAAUCUAGCUCUCUUUGGCUCCGAUACCGAGAAAAAGGCAAGUUUUAAACGUGUUAUAUUUUAGUGUACUUUCCUCACCUUACUAGUAUCAAAUUUCUUUUGGCCAUUUAAUUGUACAUUUUUUAAAAUUUCAUACCCGAGUUAAAAUUAAAGCCAUUGUGAAUUGUUUGCAUUCAUCGAAAGAUGCGUAACUUUAGCAAGAAUUCGUCGAAUUUAAUGGUGAAAAUAUCUAUAAUUCAAGCAUUUAAUGUUUAAACCCGCCCUAAAAUUUAGUGAAUUUUAGAUAACAUAUAUAUCGUUGCCCAUGUCACUGGGGAGCUGUCUUAUUUCAAAACAGCUAAUUACCAUUUGUAUAUAUCGCGCGGCGGAGAUAUAGGCCGUCCAAUUUUUAUGCUUUCUAUAUAUUUACUAUUAAAUUUUCGAAAUCCCCGGCGCGUAAUUUCCAAAUUAAAUCCUUCGGUUAGGCAGCUAAAGAAAACGUCGCCUAUUUACCUCCCUAUGGUUAUAGACACUUUAGUAACCUAUUUUAGUAAACUAUUUUGAAAGAUCUUAGCGGAAUUAAGACGUUUUAUCAACGCUUGUAUAAAAUCCUUGGGACUCCGUAUUGAGUAAACAUUCGAAAGUUUGAUUUGCUACAUUUCAACUUUGGCGUAAAAAAUGGCGGUAAAGUGCUUAUUUAAUCCGUUUAUUUAACCGAUUUUUUUUUGCGAUACGCAGUUCUUUGGAAAGUUUCAACUAAAUGAUUGUAAGUCUACCACGUAACCAAAUUUCUGCAUUUUUAACACGCAUAAUCGUUCGAAACAAUGCAUAUGUAUUUUAAAGGUAACUUGUUAUAUUAAUGUGGUUUAUGAUUCAAUAUUUCGGCAGGUCAAAACAGAUUCAGCCGAGACAGAGCCUGCUUGGAAGGGCGCUGGACAGAAGCCUGGCAUUCAAAUAUGGAGAAUUAAAAAAUUCAAGGUAGUACA